rnacentral:misc_RNA from 1 species
GAUGAAGAACGUAGCGAAAUGCGAUAGUAAUGUGAAUUGCAGAAUUCAGUGAAUCAUCGAAUCUUUGAACGCACAUUGCGCCCUCUGGUAUUCCGGGGGGCAUGCCUGUUCGAGCGUCAUUACAACCCUCAAGCUUUGCUUGGUAUUGGACAUUGCCAGUUUCUGGCAGGUCUUAAAAUCAGUGGCGGUGCCAUUUGGCUUCAAGCGUAGUAAUUCUUCUCGCUUUGGAGAUCCAGGUGGUUACUUGCCAAUAACCCCCAAUUUUUUCAGGUUGACCUCGGAUCAGGUAGGGAUACCCGCUGAACUUAAGCAUAUCAAUAAGCGGAGGA